GUUACCUAGCGAGAGGGGGCACUGGAGGAGGUGACCUUGUGUCAGGUGAUGAAAGAUUAUAGUGAGACAGAGAGAAACAGAAACAGGUGUCUUGCAGUAGAAGAGGUACAAUGU